UUAUUAUAAGCAGCAGGUUGCAAACUACAAUAGCAAAUUACCAUAACAUCAUCAUUACUUGUGAAUUUGAACCUAUUUUUGCCACUAGUUGGAAGAAUUACGUGAAUUAUCAAAGAACACAAGUAUACCCACUUCAACCGAAUAGUUUGGUUAGUUCGAGAAAUACACCGAAUUCUUUGAAGCUUCUCUCGAUGCUACCAAAGAGGUGUUAUACUCUAUUCCAAACGAAGAUUUCCC